CCCUGGGCUCGUAGAAGGGCCAGCCUGCAAGGGGAGUUGUGUCUGUUGGAGCUAGGGUGUUUUUAGUGUGUAUGGUAUAGUGUGGAAACCCUUUUCAUCAUUUAGAACUGCAGGUGUCACUAAAAAUCGUGAAGACAAUUCCAUUCUCUGGAAGACAAGACACUAACAAAAUCUGGGGAAGUGGUGAAGAAGAAUCCUUCUCCAGUUGCUGAGUGUGAUGAACCAAUAUUUUCUACAAGCAAAAGAAUGUGUGGAGAUCAUCUGGACAGAUGAAACAGGAAAUGGCAAAGACUAAUGAAUCUGUGAAUCUUGCUUAUUGGGCCACACGUGGCUUGUUAUUUCUAUGUGUGAGAUGAGUUUUUCUUCUCAUCUUCAAUGGUAGUGACAGUAGAGAAAGGACCAAGACGUUCUGAGCUGCUGCCCAGACAGCUGCCUGAUAGCUGAUAGCUUUUCAGUAUAACCAGAUUAUCUUUGAUGCAAACCUUUCUUAGCUUCUUUCAUGGAAUAAAUGGCAGCGAGGUAGGUGUUUCUGUGGGCAGAAGACAAAUGAAAAGAAAUUACCUAUAUGGUAUUUUUCUGCUACAUAGGAUGUGCUUAUGUAUGUCCUGAAAUGUGAAUGUAGGAAAAGAAUUGUUGAUAGUUUAUGGAACAUGCUGGGUAUGUUUGAUCCUGAGAAUAAGGUCAUUUUACUGAGGUGUAUCUCAGCACAUACUGAAAUUUUCCUUAUGAAUUUUCUUCAUCUGACAACGAGAUAUAUAGGAGAAUGAAAACGCAUGCCCUUCCACCACAUAGGAAGAAGAAUAUCCUUGGUUUGGCACAGUGUACUUAUGAUUUCAUCUUUGCCGUGAUAUGUAAGAGGUUCUGUUGACCUUGAUCACCAAAACAAGAAGUAACAAACAUCACUGAAGUCUGACUAUAAAUUCCUAUAUGCAAACCAUUUAUGUAUUUCAUCUUUGUAAAUACUACCAGACUUGUAUCUAGCAGGAUAGCUGAGAAACCAGUGUCUCUCACCCAUACUUUAUUGCUGUGUUUAUAUUUGUUGCUUGACGCAUCAUAAAUUCCAUACAAUACAACCUGUCUGCACUGUAAUGUGAUAUCCCUGUGACUUCUGCUCCCUAACUGCAGAAAUGGAUGUUCCUUCUUCAUUUCUGGAUUAGUAAGCUUUCAGAAAAGGUAUAAUCUUGUAACUGGUCAUAAGCUCUUGUCAUGUAGCAUAUGUUGUACAAAGUCUCUUGGGUCUCUCUCCCAGAUACUUUUUGAAUGAUUAUUUCCUUUAGCCUGCGUUUUUCCAGUAUGAAUUGAGUUUUGGGUGAUAUCCAAAGCCCGCUGAGGUCAGAAGAAUGUCUCCAAAGCCCACUGAAGUCAAUAGCAUUUGUUCCUUUGUUUUCUCUCUUCAGGAGCCAAGCUCUGCACACCUUAUUGCUUUAACAAGAACUGCGUACAAGUAAAGCAAGCAGCCUUGGGUUCCACAGUCUGGUAUUUUCAGACUCUUCUGUAUUGUAUUUCACUCUUUUCUCUAGCAUUCAUAAUGAUCCAGUAUCAUUUAUAAGUAUAAGUGCUGUUUAUCUGUCAUCACGGAUAUCUAAUGGAAAUCCAAAGUAAUACUGAGUGAACUCUGCUGUAGACUGCCUUUGCUCCUUUCCAGACUUGAUAUAUGUUCUUCCAUUACUUUUAGUUUCAGUAUUUAAUUGCCUUGCAGUUCAUAAGGUUUCAUUUGGGACAGUGUGAAUCAUUUGUGGGUAGAGUUUUGAAAGACGUAAUCAGAUACGAAGUUCAGUUACGGUUUUAUGCUGUGUACAAUAACUUUGCCCAGAUACGGGAAAGCACUUUAACAUGUGCUUGAGUCUAUCCCAAUUAAGAAAAGCAAGUAAUGUAUUUGCCUAAGUGGGAAUUUAGUCUCAA